AAUCAACGCUGGCGGCGUGCCUAACACAUGCAAGUCGAACGCGAAAGGGGGCUUCGGCCCCCCGGUAGAGUGGCGCACGGGUGAGUAACACGUGGGUAAUCUGCCUUUGGGUGGGGAAUAACGGCCCGAAAGGGUCGCUAAUACCGCAUAAUGCAGCGGCACCGCAUGGUGACAGUUGUUAAAGGGGGGGAUCUUCGGACCUCCCGCCUGAAGAGGAGCCCGCGCCCGAUUAGCUAGUUGGUGGGGUAACGGCCUACCAAGGCUGUGAUCGGUAGCCGGCCUGAGAGGGCGGUCGGCCACACUGGCACUGAGACACGGGCCAGACUCCUACGGGAGGCAGCAGUGGGGAAUUUUGGGCAAUGGGCGAAAGCCUGACCCAGCAACGCCGCGUGAAGGACGAAAUCCCUCUGGGAUGUAAACUUCAAAAGUUGGGGAAGAAAUCCCUGCGGGGAAUAUCCGCGGGGGAUGACGGUACCCAACGUAAGCCCCGGCUAACUACGUGC
rnacentral:rRNA from 1 species